ensembl:snoRNA
CCCCUUUCUAAAAGCACUCAGAGGGGCUUUCAAUAAUGACCCACUGAGCUGUCAAGAAAGGGCAGAGUGAAAACACUACUUUUGGGUGAAGCGGCAGCAUGUUGUGUUGUUUUGCUUCAAUUGGUAGUGUACCAAGG